AACCAAAUCCGCCGCUGCUUUGGACUUGUUGGUUGAAAGGGCUCCAUCAAUGGCCCUUCCCUAUUGAAAAUGUGGUACAGAAUGAUGUGUUGUCUUACACAGUUUUGUUGAGUUCUGAUUCUAAAUCCGAAAUGUUGCUCCAUUAGAGGAAGGAAGGAAGAGGACCUUGAGAAGAUUAAUAACUUGUGAGGUAUCCAUAUGUGAGCUGCAUUUCAAAAAUUCCUUCAGUACCAAGAUAACCUUCAAUGUCUGACUUAGAUUUAUUUGUUGUUGUAUUAUAUUUAUGCAAGUUUAAGAAGUACUUUAUUUUCCUUCCUUCUCUUACAAAUACUUGAAAUCUUUGAUACCUAUAGUUUGUUGGAAGCAGAAUUGAAUGCAUUCGGUAGUUGUUGUAAGACUUCAGGGUUGAAGGAGCAACAAGUAUAUGAGUAUAUCAAAAUGUUUUCCAAAGUUAUGGACACAAUGAGUUUUUUUGGAGAGCCAAUAUGAACAAUUAUUCAUGAAUAUACAUAAUGUGUUUUUU
rnacentral:lncRNA from 1 species